rnacentral:tRNA from 1 species
GCCGGAGUGGUGAAACUGGUAGACGCACGGGGCUCAAAAUCCCGCGGGCCGUCAGGCUCAUGCCGGUUCGAUCCCGGCCUCCGGCACCA